UACGAAGGGGGCUAGCGUUGCUCGGAAUCACUGGGCGUAAAGGGUGCGUAGGCGGGUCUUUAAGUCAGGGGUGAAAUCCCGGGGCUCAACCUCGGAACUGCCUUUGAUACUGGCGAUCUUGAGUCCGGGAGAGGUGAGUGGAACUGCGAGUGUAGAGGUGAAAUUCGUAGAUAUUCGCAAGAACACCAGUGGCGAAGGCGGCUCACUGGCCCGGUACUGACGCUGAGGUGCGAAAGCGUGGGGAGCAAACAGG
rnacentral:rRNA from 1 species